UACGUAGGUGGCAAGCGUUGUCCGGAAUUACUGGGUGUAAAGCGCGUGUAGGCGGCAGACCAAGUCGGCGGUGAAAGCGCCCGGCUCAACUGGGCGAGGUCCGUGGAAACUGGUCAGCUGGAGGACGGUAGAGGCGAGUGGAAUUCCCGGUGUAGUGGUGAAAUGCGUAGAGAUCGGGAGGAACACCUGUGGCGAAGGCGGCCGGCUGGGGGUGCCCUGACGCUGAGGCGCGAAAGCGUGGGGAGCGAACAGG
rnacentral:rRNA from 1 species